UGGGGAAUCUUGCACAAUGGGGGCAACCCUGAUGCAGCGACGCCGCGUGAGCGAUGAAGCCCUUCGGGGCGUAAAGCUCUUUCGACCGGAACGAUAAUGACGGUACCGGGUGAAGAAGCUGCGGCUAACUACGUGCCAGCAGCCGCGGUAAUACGUAGGCAGCAAGCGUUGUUCGGAGUUACUGGGCGUAAAGAGUGCGUAGGCGGUUUUCUAAGUUCGGUGUCAAAUCUCCCGGCUUAACUGGGAGGGUGCGCCGAAGACUGGGAGGCUGGAGUGUGGGAAAGGCAGGCGUAAUUCCUGGUGUAGCGGUGAAAUGCGUAGAUAUCAGGAAGAACACCGGCGGUGUAGACGGCUUGCUAGACCAUAACGGACGCUGAGGCACGAA
rnacentral:rRNA from 1 species